UACGUAGGGUGCGCGCGUUAAUCGGAAUUACUGGGCGUAAAGCGUGCGCAGGCGGUUUUGUAAGCCAGAUGUGAAAGCCCUGGGCUCAACCUGGGAAUGGCAUUUGGGACUGCAAGGCUUGAGUGCGGCAGAGGAGACUGGAAUUCCUGGUGUAGCAGUGAAAUGCGUAGAUAUCAGGAGGAAUACCGAUGGCGAAGGCAGGUCUCUGGGCUGACACUGACGCUCAUGCACGAAAGCGUGGGGAGCAAACAGG
rnacentral:rRNA from 1 species